rnacentral:rRNA from 1 species
AUUGAACGCUGGCGGCAGGCCUAACACAUGCAAGUCGAACGAGUGGCGGACGGGUGAGUAAUGUCUGGGAAACUGCCUGAUGGAGGGGGAUAACUACUGGAAACGGUAGCUAAUACCGCAUACCAUCAGAUGUGCCCAGAUGGGAUUAGCUUGUUGGUUGGGUAACGGGUCACCAAGGCGACGAUCCCUAGCUGGUCUGAGAGGAUGACCAGCCACACUGGCACUAGGGCACGGUCCAGACUCCUACGGUAGGCAGCAGUGGGGAAGCGUGCACAAUGGGCGCAAGCCUGAUGCAGCCAUGCCGCGUGUAUGAAGGAGGCCUUCGGGUUUUAAGGUAGUUUCAGCGUGGAGGCGUUACCCGCAGAAGAAGCACCGGCUAACUCCGUGCCAGCAGCCGCGGUAAUAC